AUUGAACGCUGGCGGCAUGCUUUACACAUGCAAGUCGAACGGCAGCGCGGGCUUCGGCCUGGCGGCGAGUGGCGGACGGGUGAGGAAUGCAUCGGAAUCUGCCCAGUCGUGGGGGAUAACGUAGGGAAACUUACGCUAAUACCGCAUACGACCGAGAGGUGAAAGCGGGGGACCUUCGGGCCUCGCGCGAUUGGAUGAGCCGAUGCCGGAUUAGCUAGUUGGCGGGGUAAAGGCCCACCAAGGCGACGAUCCGUAGCUGGUCUGAGAGGAUGAUCAGCCACACUGGGACUGAGACACGGCCCAGACUCCUACGGGAGGCAGCAGUGGGGAAUAUUGGACAAUGGGCGCAAGCCUGAUCCAGCAAUGCCGCGUGGGUGAAGAAGGCCUUCGGGUUGUAAAGCCCUUUUGUACGGGAAGAAAGACGCUGGGUUAAUACCCUGGCGGGAUGACGGUACCGUGAGAAUAAGCACCGGCUAACUUCGUGCCAGCAGCCGCGGUAAUACGAAGGGUGCAAGCGUUACUCGGAAUUACUGGGCGUAAAAGCGUGCGUAGGCGGUUUGUUAAGUCCGUUGUGAAAGCCCUGGGCUCAACCUGGGAACUGCAGUGGAUACUGGCAGGCUAGAGUGCGGUAGAGGAUGGUGGAAUUCCCGGUGUAGCGGUGAAAAUGCGUAGAGAUCGGGAGGAACAUCGAUGGCGAAGGCAGCCAUCUGGAACCAGCACUGACGCUGAGGCACGAAAAGCGUGGGGGAGCAAACAGGAUUAGAUACCCUGGUAG
rnacentral:rRNA from 1 species